UACGUAGGGUGCGAGCGUUAAUCGGAAUUACUGGGCGUAAAGCGUGCGCAGGCGGUUUUGUAAGCCAGAUGUGAAAGCCCCGGGCUUAACCUGGGAAUGGCAUUUGGGACUGCAAGGCUUGAGUGCGGCAGAGGAGACUGGAAUUCCUGGUGUAGCAGUGAAAUGCGUAGAUAUCAGGAGGAAUACCGAUAGCGAAGGCAGGUCUCUGGGCUGACACUGACGCUCAUGCACGAAAGCGUGGGGAGCAAACAGG
rnacentral:rRNA from 1 species